UGUUUUCUUCGCUACAGUCGUGUUUGAACACGCUAUCAGACUGCGAAUGAGUUGGGGUAGAUAAUUCAGAAACUAAUGGCGUAGAUUCAUCCUCGCUCUCUCCCGGUGCAGGCUAGAAUUUGGAACAGGAACUGGCAGGGCCACCUCGUCGUUCAACGUAGAGGCGGAACGUCGUUUCUUCAUCGGUGUUGAAAUGAUGAACUGUGGACUCGAACGAACUAUCGUCUGAGGUUUCGAUUUCAUCGGUAACUGGUACCCAGUGUAGAAGUGGAUUAGGCUGAAGAAUCACGUAAUCUGUGUCUUGAGGAGCCGCUGAGACUGAUCCUAAAACAAAGCUCUAUGUUACGCGCUUUUCUGUUUCUAAUUGUUAAAAAGUAAGUCGAUUAAAAUACGUUGAAUAAUGUAAAAAAGGAUUCUUAACUGAAUUGUGGUUGAUAAUUAGAAUACUUUUAUUUUUCAUUUUGUCUCUGAUUCAUCAUUGAUGUUAUUAAAUUCUAUUUUUUGGAUAAAGAUAUAAAAUGAAAGCAUACAGAAGCUUAUAGAUCUAGUCUAAGAAAGAUAAUAUCAUUUCAUAUUUCCAAUAAAGUUUUAUUGCCAUUUGCUUUUAUAAUAUAAUUGUCUAAUAACCUAAUUAGAAUAACUGUACACACAGUACAAAAAGAAAAAUACAUGAAGAUGAAAAUAUAAUCGUAGUUUUUUCACUUUGGUAUAUAAAACUUUUCCCUUUUAAUGUAAAAGCUUAUCUUUCUAAAUGUACAAGAUCUAUCAGCAUAAACAUCCCAGAAAGAAAUAUAUUCAUUUAACAUUCAAUGAUAGUAACACGUAGUUAUCACAGUCUGUUUUACAAAUAUUAAUUAUGAAAAAAUACUCUUAAGUAUUAGGUAAUUGUAACUAAUCAUACAAUGACCAAUUAAAUAACAACAUUCAAAUGAUUCCAAAGACGUACAAGAAGGGUACGAAUGUUUUGUAUAGUUUUAAAAAUACAACACGACAUACAAUGUUCGCAAGUAAUACCAUUAAUAUAUUAAACUACUACAUGAAAAUGAUAUUUCUUUAUUAUAACAACGCACACAUUCAAGUCACUGUCGCCAUAACGUUGUUCGUUAUACGGAUGACACAUUUCUUUUUAUUUAACAUAUGUCAUUCAUUUUAUAUCCUUUUAUCUAUACAAUAAUCCAGUCUAUCAUAACGCAUUGGCACAUUUUCAGAAAAUAGAGGCAAGAUUCAGAAGGAAAUUCCUUCCACCUCUUUGAUGUGUAUUGUACUUAAAAUAUACGUAUAUAACAAAUUUUUA